rnacentral:rRNA from 1 species
AUUAGAGUUUGAUCAUGGCUCAGGACGAACGCUGGCGGCGUGCCUAAUACAUGCAAGUCGAGCGCCGUGAAACAGACUGAACUCUUCGGAGUGACGUUUGUGGUACGAGCGGCGGACGGGUGAGUAACACGUGGGCAACCUACCUGUAAGACUGGGAUAACUCGCGGAAACGUGAGCUAAUACCGGAUAAUACUUUUUCAUUUUCAUGGUGGAAAGAUAAAAGAUGGCUUUUGCUAUUACUUACAGAAUGGGCCCGCGGCGCAUUAGCUAGUUGGUGGGAUAAAAGCCUACCAAGGCAACGAUGCGUAGCCGACCUGAGAGGGUGAUCGGCCACACUGGGACUGAGACACGGCCCAGACUCCUACGGGAGAAGCAGUAGGGAAUCUUCCGCAAUGGACGCAAGUCUGACGGAGCACGCCGCGUGAGUGAUGAAGGUCUUCGGAUCGUCUCUGUUGUUAGGGAAGAACAAGUACUAAAGUAACGAUUAGUUCCUUAA